AGUUAUAACAAGUGUAUCGUACUAUAAAAUCAACAACGGCCAACAACUAUUGUCAACGAGAGUACAAGAUUACUUUUUGCAAGAUCUACUACGAAAAUAGAUCUAAGUCAUUUGACACCUGUUCAAUCGCUACAAGCCUAUUCAAAUAUUUAACGACGAGCGCGUAGAAAGCAUUACCUACAGUAAUGUAUUUGAAUUGUAUUAUUUUUUACUUAUUCUACGUUAUUUUAUUAUUGCUUGGAAGUUUAUCACAGUUACCAAAGGGACCUAUCAGACCAUCGGGACCGUCAACACCACCACCAUAAUGAAGAAAUAACUCGUGUAUGAUGAUUCUAGUGAACUAAUAAACGAAAUGAGACGGCGAAAAUACAAUCAAACAAUAAUAAUCAAUUUAAUGAAAGUAAAGUAAAAUAGAAUUCGAUUAAUAACUUCAAAACCUUUUCAAAAUCGAUUACUAUUAAUAAGAUGUUAUGUGUUUAUUUCGCUUCGAUUGGAAAUUGUAUUUUUCACUGUUUCGUUUAGUAUUGUAAUAAUAUGUCAUAGCAGUUUUUUUUUUUUUUUUUUAAUCUACUUUUAUUCUUGAUUCUCAUGGUUAUUGGGUGCCAUACACACAAAAAAUCCAAGUAUUUUGAGUGUUAAACUACUCAUAAAAUUGCGUUUAAAUCUCCUGAAAAAUAUAAUUUGAUUUGCUGUAAAAGUGUAUCGUACUGUAAUGAUAUGCUCACACAACAUUGUCAAUCAAUGUAUAUUGCAAUCGAGUUGUCACUACCGUCCAACGAUUUCAAGAGGACAGUUAUAUAGUUUAUUUUGUUUUAAUCACAAAGUACGGUCUAUAAUGAACCUCCUGUUAAAUUUCAAAAUACGGUAAUUAGAUGUAAGUGAUUAUAUAGGUACAAUAAGUUAGCACAAAUAAAUAUUUUAAUGGCAGAAUUAGUUUAAGAUAGCAAAUUAAUAAUUAGAAUUAUACAGACAAUAUAGUUAACUAGUACAGUAAAACUUCCGUUUACGGUCAUCUCUAAACACAGCCACCUCUGUGUAACUGUCAUUUGUUUUUGUCCCGUCACAAGUGUUAUGCCUCUAUAGGAAACCUCUAAAGACCGGUCACCUUUAAAUAGCGGUUAUUAUUUAAGGUCCCUUAGGUCACCGUUAUAUGGAAGUUUUACUGUAUUUAAAUAAAAAUAAAAUAGUGGCCUAAAAACUAAUUGUUAUUUGUAGAUACAAAAUGCGCCUG